UACGGAGGGUGCGAGCGUUGUCCGGAAUCACUGGGCGUAAAGGGUGCGUAGGCGGCAUGUACAGUCAGGCGUGAAAUUCCCGGGCUCAACCUGGGGACUGCGUUUGAUACGUGCAGGCUAGAGUGGGGAAGAGGGUCGUGGAAUUCCCAGUGUAGAGGUGAAAUUCGUAGAUAUUGGGAAGAACACCGGUGGCGAAGGCGGCGACCUGGUCCUUUACUGACGCUGAGGCGCGAAAGCGUGGGGAGCAAACAGG
rnacentral:rRNA from 1 species